rnacentral:tRNA from 1 species
AUCGGAAUAGCUCAGUUGGGAGAACGUUAGACUAUAGAUCGAAAAGUCCCUGGUUCGAUGCUGGGUUCCGGCA